GACGAACGCUGGCGGCGUGCUUAACACAUGCAAGUCGAACGGAAAGGCCCUGCUUUUGUGGGGUGCUCGAGUGGCGAACGGGUGAGUAACACGUGAGUAACCUGCCCUUGACUUUGGGAUAACUUCAGGAAACUGGGGCUAAUACCGGAUAGGAGCUCCUGCUGCAUGGUGGGGGUUGGAAAGUUUCGGCGGUUGGGGAUGGACUCGCGGCUUAUCAGCUUGUUGGUGGGGUAGUGGCUUACCAAGGCUUUGACGGGUAGCCGGCCUGAGAGGGUGACCGGUCAGAGGGGGCGGGGGAGCGGUCCGAGGACGGGGGGGGGGGAGGGGUGGGGAGAGAGGGCACGGGGGGCGGAAGCAGGAGGGGGCAACGCGGGGUGGGGCAUGGGGGGCGGCGGGGGGAAAGCCGGUGUCGCCGGGGAAGAGGCGGGGGUGGUGGGAAGGGGAAAAGGCGAUCGGGCGAACGGCGGGCCAGCAGCGGGGGUAAGAAGGGGAAGAGCAUGCGUCUAACC
rnacentral:rRNA from 1 species